CCUACGGGUGGCAGCAGUGAGGAAUAUUGGUCAAUGGGCGCGAGCCUGAACCAGCCAAGUCGCGUGAGGGAUGACGGCCCUACGGGUUGUAAACCUCUUUUGCCGGGGAGCAACGGGCGCCACGUGUGGCGCCACUGAGAGUACCCGGAGAAAAAGCAUCGGCUAACUCCGUGCCAGCAGCCGCGGUAAUACGGAGGAUGCGAGCGUUAUCCGGAUUCAUUGGGUUUAAAGGGUGCGCAGGCGGGCCUUUAAGCCGGCGGUGAAAUCGCGGGGCUCAACCCCGCCGAGCCGUCGGAACUGGGGGCCUUGAGUGCGGCGGAGGCAUGCGGAAUGCGCGGUGUAGCGGUGAAAUGCAUAGAUAUCGCGCAGAACCCCGAUUGCGAAGGCAGCGUGCCGUGCCGCCACUGACGCUGAGGCACGAAAGCGCGGGGAUCGAACAGGAUUAGAUACCCCUGUAGUC
rnacentral:rRNA from 1 species